GCCGACGUGAUGUAAUCCGGUGAGCAUCCGGCCCUGUCACGGUCGGUAUCCGGGUUCAAAUCCCGGCGUCGGCG
rnacentral:tRNA from 1 species